CAUGUUCUAUUUUCUUGUAGUCUAUUUCUCCUUUAUCCUCAUUUGGCUGGUCAGCAACAUUUUGACCCUCAUCCCCCUAUUGAUGAUUCAUCACAAAAUGGAAGGUCAGAUGGAAGAAGAGCUUCACUUUGGUGUUCUAAAGGCUGCAGCGGUAAAGAUGAAGCACAUCAAGCUUCAUGAAACAUGAGGGAACUGGGGGACAGAAAUGGUGGAAGUGACCCAAAACUGGGUUUCUUGACUGUCAUGCAUCAUCAAGUAGCCAUACAGCAGAAUUUCUUUGAGUGGCUAAAGAUUUUCCAGGAUCUACACUGGUGUACAGAUGUUCAACCAACCACAUAUUCUCUGGAUGAUUCAUAUAGUACUAGCCAAGAGAUUUGAGUGCAUGAAGAAUGAUGCACAUGGCCUUAAAGGAAUAUUCAAGGUCAAAAUCUUUGCCUUGUGUUGCCCAUCCCCAUUUGUUCCUCUUCCUUUCUCUCCAGCAUGUUCCUCAGUGUUUCCUAUGGAAAGAAACCACAUUUUAGCUCUGUGUGAGUUGCGGUGAGAAAGGUGUUGCAUUAUGUGUCAUGUUUUCAUGCAUUAUGCAUUGGGAUUCUCACAAACUUUGCCCCUUCCCACAGUCACCAGCAGAAUUGUCUUGCGUAGAAUAGUCACUAGGGUAUAUGGAUAUUGUACCUGUGAAUCAUUUAAUCAGCAGACAUACCUGUUAGACAACAGUCUUUAAUAACUGCAAUUUAUUAUAUAUUGUUAGUACCC